rnacentral:rRNA from 1 species
AUAGGAUUCCCUCAGUAAUGGCGAAUGAACAGGGAUAAGCUCAGCAUGGAAAUUGGGGCCUCUGGCCUUGAAUUGUAGUCUUGAGAUGGCAUUGCCAGUGGAGGCGCAGAUGUAAGCCUCUUGGAAAAGAGCAUCAAUGAGGGUGAGAGUCCCGUUUGUCAUCUGCAGUCCCCCAUACAACGGUGUGCUUUCUAAGAGUCACGUUCCUUGGGAUUGGAGCGCAAAUUGGGUGGUAAAUUUCAUCUAAAGCUAAAUAUUGGUUCGAGACCGAUAGCAAACAAGUACCAUGAGGGAAAGGUGAAAAGGACUUUGAAAAGAGAGUUAAAAGUGCCUGAAAUUGCUGAAAGGGAAGCGAAUGGAACCAGUCUUCUGGGCGAGAUUGUUGCGCGCUACUGUGAUUGCCUGCUGCUUCAACGCAAGUGUCGCAGUGGGUUUUGAGCAUGACGUGCGCUUUGNUUUCUUGCCUCGUGUGUCAACGUCGGUUCGGACUUGAGGAAAACUCCAGGGACAUGGUAAAUCGCUCGUGGGUGAUUGAAUGUGCUUGGCAGAACUCAUUUCUUAACUGAUUUCUGCAUGUCUGGUCGCAGUGCCUCGUUGCCUGCGCUCGCUGCCUCGGGUCUGGAGCUUCAGCUCUUCCUCGUUGCUUUGAGCCUGGUCGUGUGGCAUCUCCCUGACAUAAGUACGAUGACAAAAUGGUUUCAUUCGACCCGUCUUGAAACACGGACCAAGGAGUCUAACAUAUGUGCAAGUUCACGGGUGUUAAACCUGAUUGCGCAAUGAAAGUGACUGCUGGGAUAUUUGCACCAGCAACCGACCAAUCAAUUGUGAGAGGUUUGAGUAUGAGCAUAUCUGUUAGGACCCGAAAGAUGGUGAACUAUGCCUGAGAAGGGUGAAGUCAGGGG